UUUGGGGAAGUAAACCCCAAGCAACUAGGAGGUGGGCGCCAGGGAGGCCAAGGGAGCCCCCGGCCAAUGGCAAAGCGAGAAGGAUCUGAUUGACGCGGGGGUUGGACUGCGCCAAGGAGACCGAGCCCCAGGGCCGCGGUGCCCUCUGGUGAUGUUCAGAGGCUCCUCUGGCCCGGGCUUCCGUCCUCUUUUUUUACCCCACUUGUUGGGUCUAGGCCCUGAGGCCUUUCUCGCACCUUUUCUGCAGCUCGGUACCCGGGAAACCAAGUACGAAAGUUCCCGUUGUUUGUUUGGUUUUGUUUUGUUUUUUCUUUCUGGAGCAACUUUUUUAUUUCCAUGCGGCCACCUAAGAGCACUUGCUGGCUCUCACCAUUAGUCAGCACUCUUGUUGGACGACAGUUUAAGAGCAAGCGAGAGGGGAGAGUAGCGCCGUCGUGUACCUGCGAUCGUGUACAAAGGCAGCACGGGGAAGGUGCGGUUGAGUUUGAGAACACGGAACUCGACCCUGCUCUGGCCGGCUGGUGGGAGCCCGCUGAGUUCUUUCCCGUCUGUUGCUGCCAAGGAACCGUAGCCUGUGAGGUCUCCGCUCCGGUUGGUCCUUAAUGCAACAUCCUGGAAAGAAACUGAGAUUCAGAGAGGUUUAUUGCCCAGAACAGCCAGGAACUGAACACAGGUGCCUGGCAAGAUUAUUCUGUCCUGCCCCUUUAGAGACAGGCAUGACCACAUGCUCUACUUUGGCUGACACAAUGUGAGCAGAAGUGACACAUAUCUUUUCCAGGAAGAAAGGUCUUUGGAGCCAGUGAUUAUUUGCUGAGGUCUUCCCUCCCCACACACUAGCCCCCAUAUUCAGUAUCAUUCUGUUCAGAGAAUCUCCCUCAACCUGGGUCCCUGAGGAAAAAUCAUUUGCACAGAAACAAUCCUCCAAACUGCCCAACCUGCAAUGGUCAUAUGACAUAAACCAGGUGGAGAAAUCUGUUUUUUUAAGCCUUUGAGGUUUUGUGAUGGUUUGUUGCGAUAGCCUUAACUGGCCUUUCUUGCCAGUUACAGAUAAAUUUCCAGAUCUACCAGUGUUUCAGCAGACACUCAAAAUCUGGAUUACUCACUGUUCUUUCUUAACAUUUUAUUAAUGAUAUAAAAGUGUUUGGUCCUCAUUUUUU